UUUUUUUUUUUUUUUAAAUAGAGUCUCACUAUCACCCAGGCUGCAGUGCAGUGGCACGAUCUCAGCUCACUGCAACCUCCUCCCAGGUUCAAGCAAUUCUCCUGCCUCAGCCUCCCAAGAAGCUGGACUUACAGGUGUGUGCGACCACCCCCGGCUAAUUUUUAUGUAUUUUUAGUGGAGACGGGGUUUUGCCAUGUUGGCCGGGCUGCUCUCAAACUCCUGACCUCAGGUGAUCCACCUGCCUCCACCUCCCAAAGUGCGGGGUUUACAGGCAUGAGCCACCAUGCCUGGCCAAGAUUUUAUUUUCAGUUUACAAUUGGAAGGCUAGUGGACCGGUGCACACCUCGCUGACUUUUGGGUGAGCGUGUUGAGGGCCCCUGGCACCAGCUGUUCUUCUGCUGAAUGAUGCAGGGUGGGGAGGCCUGCGCGGCCCUGCACUGGCCACACAAUCCUCUCAAGAAGAUCUACGCGAAACAAAGGAGCACGAGCGAGGGGAGCUCUGCUCAGAAAGGACCAUCUUGCAUCACUCAAAUUGUGGGAAAUGAUGAAAAACAACAAAUUGAAAUGUCGUGAAGAAACACACUAAUAAGACUAUUUUUAAAUAUACAGAGGAAGCUAGAAAAUACGGAAAGAGGAACCAUUCGGACAAUAUACUCAGGAAAUAUCCAGGACUGUUAUACCUAAAACAGCCUCACUGUCCCCCUCCUGGCCUGGCAGCACACCUGAGCCCGGAGUCUGCCAGGGAUAGCUCUGAGGAUCCAGGCAGGGCCAGGGAUGGGCUCUGAAGGGCCAGGCGGGGCCAGGCAGGGCCAGGGAUGGGCUCUGAGGGGCCAGGCAGGGCCAGGGAUGGGCUCUGGUGCCUGCCUGCUUCCUUGAGGCUUCCUUGGUCAGAGCCAGCGAUGCCAAGAUUAGCAAAUAAUCUUGGCCAGAAUUAGCAAAUAAAAAUAUGGGAUGCCGAUAAUUCUGCACUUCAGAUAAACAACAAAUACUUUUUAGUACAUGCCCAACGCGGUAGAGGUAAAUCUAUAUGGGCUGAAGCAGAUUUGCAGGGCUGUGGGCAGGGUGGGGAGUGACCGCUCAUGGGCACGGGGUUUCUUCCUGGGGCAACACAAACGGUGUCACAUGAGAUAGUGAGGAUGGCUGCACAUCUCCGAAUAUGCGGCAAAACUGUAAGCUUUCAAGAAGUGAAUUUCAUAGUAAGUGCAUUGUAUUUCAACAAAUCUGUUUUAAAAUCUUAAGGGCUUGCUGUCUCAGGCCUCUAGUCCCAGCUACUCAGGAGACUGAGGCGGGAGGAUUGCUUGAGGCCAGGAGUUCAAGACCAGCCUGGGCAAUAUAGCGAAACCCCCAUCUCUACAAAAAACACGUUAAACAAAAACGUUAACUGGGCGUUCCGUGUUGUAUCCAGCAAUCCUAACAGCCCUCCGCCCCGCGAGCCCCAGUCCUUCCCCUGCGGCUGGGCUGGGUCCCCCGUCCUGGGCGAUGCGGGUGCCCCGCAGGAGUCCACAGAGCUGGGCUUCCGUGGCAGCAACCCCAACCCCAGCGCCACCUGGUACGGCCCGACCGUGGGUCCCUCCGGGUCAGGACGCAGACGCGCCCGCGGCGGUAACCGGGAGCCGGGGCCUCGGGCCCACCCCAGCCAGACCGCGGGUAGGAGCGCAGGGCACUGCCCGCGCCGGGACUGGGCUGAGGUUUCCGAUCCUCCCGGAUGUCCUUCGGGAGACUCAUUCGCAGAAGAGGUUGCGGAGGCGCAGGACAGAGGCAGGCAGGUGCCUCGGAGACCCACAACAAACCGCACACCCAGCGCGACCCACCGCGUCCAGCC
ensembl:lncRNA